rnacentral:rRNA from 1 species
GAUGAACGCUGGCGGCGUGCCUAACACAUGCAAGUCGAGCGAACGGACGAGAAGCUUGCUCCCCUGAUGUUAGCGGCGGACGGGUGAGUAACACGUGGAUAACCUACCUAUAAGACUGGGAUAAUAUCGGGAAACCGGAGCUAAUACCGGAUGAUAUUUCGAACCGCAUGGUUCAAAAGUGAAAGACGCUCUUGCUGACACUUAUAGACGGAUCCGCGCUGCAUUAGCUAGUUGGUAAGGUAACGGCUUACCAAGGCAACGAUGCAUAGCCGACCUGAGAGGGUGAUCGGCCACACUGGAACUGAGACACGGUCCAGACUCCUACGGGAGGCAGCAGUAGGGAAUCUUCCGCAAAGGGCGAAAGCCUGACAGAGCAACACCGCGUGAGUGAUGAAGGUCUUCGGAUCGUAAAGCUCUGUUGUUAGGAAAGAACAUAUGUGUAAGUAACUGUGCACAUCUUGACGGUACCUAAUCAAAAAGCCACGGCUAACUACGUG